GUAGUCGGAUUCACAUCAAUCCACAUAUGUUGAGGUGGAUUGGAGUGGAAUUUGAACUAAAUUCCACCUCAAUAAUUCACAUCAACACACAUGGGUUGAAGUAAAUCCGACA
rfam:Sorghum bicolor cultivar BTx623 chromosome 8, whole genome shotgun sequence.